rnacentral:rRNA from 1 species
GUAGGAGAACGCUGGCGGCGUGCUUAACACAUGCAAGUCGAACGAUGAUCUCCAGCUUGCUGGGGGGAUUAGUGGCGAACGGGUGAGUAACACGUGAGUAACCUGCCCUUGACUCUGGGAUAAGCCUGGGAAACUGGGUCUAAUACCGGAUACGACCGUCCCGCGCAUGCGGUGGUGGUGGAAAGCUUUUGCGGUUUUGGAUGGACUCGCGGCCUAUCAGCUUGUUGGUGGGGUAAUGGCCUACCAAGGCGACGACGGGUAGCCGGCCUGAGAGGGUGACCGGCCACACUGGGACUGAGACACGGCCCAGACUCCUACGGGAGGCAGCAGUGGGGAAUAUUGCACAAUGGGCGAAAGCCUGAUGCAGCGACGCCGCGUGAGGGAUGACGGCCUUCGGGUUGUAAACCUCUUUCAGUAGGGAAGAAGCGAAAGUGACGGUACCUGCAGAAGAAGCGCCGGCUAACUACGUGCCAGCAGCCGCGGUAAUACGUAGGGCGCAAGCGUUAUCCGGAAUUAUUGGGCGUAAAGAGCUCGUAGGCGGUUUGUCGCGUCUGCUGUGAAAGACCGGGGCUCAACUCCGGUUCUGCAGUGGGUACGGGCAGACUAGAGUGAUGUAGGGGAGACUGGAAUUCCUGGUGUAGCGGUGAAAUGCGCAGAUAUCAGGAGGAACACCGAUGGCGAAGGCAGGUCUCUGGGCAUUAACUGACGCUGAGGAGCGAAAGCAUGGGGAGCGAACAGGAUUAGAUACCCUGGUAGUCCAUGCCGUAAACGUUGGGCACUAGGUGUGGGGGACAUUCCACGUUUUCCGCGCCGUAGCUAACGCAUUAAGUGCCC